GACGAACGCUGGCGGCAUGCCUAACACAUGCAAGUCGAGCGAGUAGAUCCCUUCGGGGUGAAGCUAGCGGCGGACGGGUGAGUAACACGUGGGCAACCUGCCUCAUAGAGGGGAAUAGCCUUCCGAAAGGAAGAUUAAUACCGCAUAAGAUUGUAGCUUCGCAUGAAGCAGCAAUUAAAGGAGCAAUCCGCUAUGAGAUGGGCCCGCGGCGCAUUAGCUAGUUGGUGAGGUAACGGCUCACCAAGGCGACGAUGCGUAGCCGACCUGAGAGGGUGAAGGGGCACAUUGGGACUGAGAAACGGCCCAGACUCCUACUGGAGGCAGCAGUGGGAAAUAUUGCAAAAUGGGGGAAACCCUGAUGCAGCGAUGCCGCGUGAGUGAUGACGGCCUUCGGGUUGUAAAGCUCUGUCUUCGGUGACGAUAAUGACGUACCCGAGGAGGAAGCCACGGCUAACUACGUGCCAGCCGCCGCAGUAA
rnacentral:rRNA from 1 species